UUGGCCGCCCCAGCUCCCUCCGGGUUGGACGGUCGAGUAGGAUCCCUCCUCAGACGGCGAGGAAAGGGACCACUGACGUCUUGGCUGGCCUCACCAAGGACGUCCGACCCCUGCGUUAGCUUCCGCUAGUGUUUUACCUUCUGUUGUUUUUCUUUUGAACCUUGUAAAACUCUGAUGAUUUGUUUUUCUGGCUGAAUUAAAUGGUUAAGUUGUUUAACUCGGUGGACUUGUUGAAUUCUCUGGAACCACUCACCGUCGUGUGAGUUUGCUAACUCGAU
rnacentral:lncRNA from 1 species